rnacentral:lncRNA from 1 species
UGCACUGAAAUAUCCUGUGCUGCGAAGUCUGCAAAAAAACUGAAGUGCUUUUUUAAUGGCAUAAAUACAGCAGCAUAAGUAGAAACUGGGCAUGAGCUACCAUGUUGCACAUACUGGAGCUCAGAGUGCCACAGUGCUGUUCUGUACUGUUUAAAAUCACUCCACAUCUCCCUGAACCAAGGCCAGUACACAAACUGGAGCAGCAAGCUUGAGCCAUUUUAUUGUUGCAGUCCCCUGCUACUGUGCCUUAGCAGUGAAGUGGCAGUGUGUAAAUGCACACCACUGGGUUUCAGUAAUCCUAUGCCUUCAGUGCCCUUGAGACCACUAGAUGUUUUCUCAAGAGCCAAGUUCUAUGAUAGACUAUGGAAUAACCCAUGGUAGACCUUACCCAACAUUCCCACAACUGGAUUUUUAAAAAGCUUUUGUCACUUCUUGGUAAGAAUAACAAAAUAAACUAUUUUUCCCCUAUUUUUUUUCUCAUUUUUAAAGGAUGAUCUUGAAAAUGCCAAAUAUAUUUCACGUCUCUUUGCAUCAAGACACAAGUUUUAUAAACAGAACAAAAUCUGCACAGAACAAUCAAAUUCUCCUCCCCCUAUCCGACGACGGCCAACCUGGAGUAGGUCAUCUUUGGUACGUGCCACUGUGAGGUCUUUAAGAAUAUCUAUACCAUUUCUGAUGAGAUGAGGCAUUGUAUAAGAUGAACUACUUUCUAAAUUUCAAAUAAGCCCAUUAACUCACUUCUUGUUGGCAAUGUGAUUGGAAUGAGUUUCAAGAGUGUGACUGCCCAGAUUGAUUAACUGGAUAAUAUCACCAGUGAGUAGUAAAAAUUGCAGUCUUCAAGGCAUUGUAUUUUUACUUGCCCUUUAAAAAUUGAGCAUUUUUUCUGCUGCAUUGAGGUUAUUUCAAUAUGUAGAGAAAAUAAUUCUCUAGAAAGAAUUUUAAAUGUCUUGUGCUCUAUGCAUCAAAUCUAGUCAUUAUAAAGUGUUGCAUUUCACAUUUCUUCAAUCCUCAUGUUUUUUUAUAAGGACUAUUUACAAUUUAGCAGCUUUUUAGGUUAAGACUCUAUUUUAUGUGUGGAGUUACUGUUAAUUUAAGUUAAACUAUUAGAAUCAGCAUUGUGAU